UACAGAGGUCUCAAGCGUUGUUCGGAUUCAUUGGGCGUAAAGGGUGCGUAGGCGGCGCGGUAAGUCGGGUGUGAAAUCUCGGAGCUUAACUCCGAAACUGCAUUCGAUACUGCCGUGCUUGAGGACUGGAGAGGAGACUGGAAUUUACGGUGUAGCGGUGAAAUGCGUAGAUAUCGUAAGGAAGACCAGUGGCGAAGGCGGGUCUCUGGACAGUUCCUGACGCUGAGGCA
rnacentral:rRNA from 1 species